CCUACGGGUGGCAGCAGUGGGGAAUAUUGCACAAUGGGGGAAACCCUGAUGCAGCGACGCCGCGUGAAGGAAGAAGUAUUUCGGUAUGUAAACUUCUAUCAGCAGGGAAGAAAAUGACGGUACCUGACUAAGAAGCCCCGGCUAACUACGUGCCAGCAGCCGCGGUAAUACGUAGGGGGCAAGCGUUAUCCGGAUUUACUGGGUGUAAAGGGAGCGUAGGCGGUUUAGCAAGUCAGAAGUGAAAGCCCGGGGCUCAACUCCGGGACUGCUUUUGAAACUGUUGAACUAGAUUGCAGGAGAGGUAAGUGGAAUUCCUAGUGUAGCGGUGAAAUGCGUAGAUAUCUGGAGGAACAUCAGUGGCGAAGGCGACUAUCUGGCACAUAACUGACGCUGAGGAGCGAAAGCGUGGGUAGCAAACAGGAUUAGAUACCCUUGUAGUC
rnacentral:rRNA from 1 species